UUAACACAUGCAAGUCGAGGGGCAGCAUGGUCUUAGCUUGCUAAGGCCGAUGGCGACCGGCGCACGGGUGAGUAACGCGUAUCCAACCUGCCUUACACUCUUGGACAGCCUUCUGAAAGGGAGAUUAAUACAAGAUGUUAUCAUGAGUAAGCAUUUUCGCAUGAUUAAAGGUUUACCGGUGUAAGAUGGGGAUGCGUUCCAUUAGAUAGUAGGCGGGGUAACGGCCCACCUAGUCUUCGAUGGAUAGGGGUUCUGAGAGGAAGGUCCCCCACAUUGGAACUGAGACACGGUCCAAACUCCUACGGGAGGCAGCAGUGAGGAAUAUUGGUCAAUGGACGAGAGUCUGAACCAGCCAAGUAGCGUGAAGGAUGAAGGUUCUAUGGAUUGUAAACUUCUUUUAUACGGGAAUAAACGGAUCCACGUGUGGAUUUUUGCAUGUACCGUAUGAAUAAGGAUCGGCUAACUCCGUGCCAGCAGCCGCGGUAAUACGGAGGAUCCGAGCGUUAUCCGGAUUUAUUGGGUUUAAAGGGAGCGUAGAUGGGUUGUUAAGUCAGUUGUGAAAGUUUGCGGCUCAACCGUAAAAUUGCAAUUGAUACUGGCAGUCUUGAGUACAGUUGAGGUAGGCGGAAUUCGUGGUGUAGCGGUGAAAUGCUUAGAUAUCACGAAGAACUCCGAUUGCGAAGGCAGCUUACUAACCUGUAACUGACAUUGAUGCUCGAAAGUGUGGGUAUCAAACAGGAUUAGAUACCCUGGUAGUCCACACGGUAAACGAUGAAUACUCGCUGUAGGCGAUAUACAGUCUGCGGCCAAGCGAAAGCAUUAAGUAUUCCACCUGGGGAGUACGCCGGCAACGGUGAAACUCAAAGGAAUUGACGGGGGCCCGCACAAGCGGAGGAACAUGUGGUUUAAUUCGAUGAUACGCGAGGAACCUUACCCGGGCUUAAAUUGCAACCGAAUAUGGCGGAAACGCUAUAGCUAGCAAUAGCGGUUGUGAAGGUGCUGCAUGGUUGUCGUCAGCUCGUGCCGUGAGGUGUCGGCUUAAGUGCCAUAACGAGCGCAACCCUUGCCGAUAGUUACUAACAGGUCAUGCUGAGGACUCUGUCGGGACUGCCAUCGUAAGAUGUGAGGAAGGUGGGGAUGACGUCAAAUCAGCACGGCCCUUACGUCCGGGGCUACACACGUGUUACAAUGGGGGGUACAGAGGGCUGCUACCACGCAAGUGGAUGCCAAUCCCAAAAACCUCUCUCAGUUCGGAUUGAAGUCUGCAACCCGACUUCAUGAAGCUGGAUUCGCUAGUAAUCGCGCAUCAGCCACGGCGCGGUGAAUACGUUCCCGGGCCUUGUACACACCGCCCGUCAAGCCAUGGGAGCCGGGGGUACCUGAAGUGCGUAACCGCAAGGAGCGCCCUAGGGUAAAACUGGUGACUGGGGCUAA
rnacentral:rRNA from 1 species